GUAUGAAGUGGGAAAUUUGAACAAAGUUUAGAUUAAGUUAGUUAGUUGAGUUAUAGUUGGUUUGAUGUGAGAAGGUCGCUAUAUAUAUGUACAUGUACAUUGUGAUCGUCCCCUUAAGGCAAACCAGUGACAUUAUAUACCAUGCUUAUUGCUAAAGGCACACACCACAGUUAACAGAGACCCGUUACAAUUGGGUCAAGUCGCAAGCUUGCAACAUAACGGGGAAGAUUUUAGAAAGUUUUAUUUGUUUUUAAAACAGUAUUUAAAUAGAUUAAAACUCGUUGUUGGGAUAGAUGGCCGUGGAUUAUUUAGCGGUGCAUGAAAUCUGGAGUAUAUAUACAAAUUGUAGGAGAUGAAAUGUUUUUUUGGGUGAUGUGACGAUUGGUGUCGGACAUGUUUGAUGUUUAUUUGUUUUAGAGCAGUGAAGGAGAACGAACCAAGUUUUAACAGUCGUAUAGAAGAGUGGGAGUAUCAAUUUAUGUUAUGGCCAGGCUUGACGGAUAGCAACAGACGUAAACUGAAUUAUUGGAAUAAUUAACUUUUAAAAUUUUCAUCAAUGAACAGUUAAACGUGAAAUCAAGUGUACAGAUUGAGAAAGAAAGGAUUGUAAAAAAAGAAAUGGCUACAAAGACAGAGAAGUUGAUAUACAGUAUUAUUACAGCAGUGAUAUUGUUUCUUGCCAUAGGACUAGAUUUAGGUGGAGCCUUUGUGCCUUUCUGGACUCGACCCAUCAACGAAACGGAUCCUGACACUAAGGGCAAUGUGAGUUUUUCAUUAUGGACUAAACGUGAGUGUUGGGAUGUAAUAUGUCGGACGAAGUUAUUGUUAGUAAAAUGGACAACAGAAGAAUGUACCCAGGUUGAUGGAAAAGACAAUUGUUUGACAACCACGGGUUAUAAACAUAAACCUAAAACUGAAUGUUUUGAUGUUUUUUAUUGUAAUAUAACAUGGCAGGUCAAUGAAGAUCCUGAUAAAAUACCAUCCCUGUUGUUUGUAGCGAAAGCGUUUGAGACCCCGGCAGUGGCAGCAGGAGUUAUUGCCCUUAUUUUAUAUAUUGUAAAGAUAAUAAUGCUGUUAAAAUGUACAGAUACAAAACGUCUUCAUAUAAAAGCUGCUUAUUUAACUUUCUGUGCUAUAGCAGGUGCCGCUGCUGAAAUUGGUGUAAUAAUAUUCUGUGUAAUGCUGGAGAAAGAUAUUUAUCAUUUGGGAUGGGGGCCGGCGUUACCCGGGGUUGGGGGGUUUCUACAACUUUGUAUCGCGUUAGGAGGAUAUCUGAG